rnacentral:rRNA from 1 species
CGGGGGAGCAAGCGUUGUUCGGAUUUACUGGGCGUAAAGGGCGCGUAGGCGGCCACCGCAAGUCGACUGUGAAAUCUCUGGGCUUAACCCAGAAAGGUCAGCCGAUACUGCGGGGCUAGAGUGCAGAAGGGGCAACUGGAAUUCUCGGUGUAGCGGUGAAAUGCGUAGAUAUCGAGAGGAACACCUGCGGCGAAGGCGGGUUGCUGGGCUGACACUGACGCUGAAGCGCGAAAGCUAGGGGAGCGAACGGGAUUAGAUACCCCGGUAGUCCUAGCCUUAAACGAUGAAUGCUUGGUGUCUGGGGUUUUAUAGUCCCCGGGUGCCGUCGCUAACGCUUUAAGCAUUCCGCCUGGGGAGUACGGUCGCAAAGACUG